rnacentral:pre_miRNA from 1 species
ACAACAACAUUCGGACCGUCGGUCUACCGAGCAAUGUCACCCGCUCGGUGGAAGAUCUUCCUUUCGUCGUAUACC